UGUGUGUGUGUGUGUGUGUGUGUGUGUGUGUGUGUGUGUGUGUGUGUAUGUGUAUGUCUGUUUGUCUGCCUUGCGUGUGCGAAUGGAGAAGUCUUGCUUCGUGUGAGGAAUUUUGCACAAACAUUGCAGUAGUUUAAUUAUUAAUAGUUCUUUUAUCACGCUUAAUGUGGAUAUCGCAUUUUCCUUCUUUUAUUUUCUUAUUACUUCUUUCUUCGUGCCUCAAACUUCGUCAUAAAACAUGAAAAAAAAAAAAAAAUAGGUGGUCAGGUGGACAGAGAGAGGGGGCGGGAAGAGAGGGAAAGAGAAAGUGAAAGAGGAAGAAAAAGAAAGAAAGAAAGAAAGAAAGAAAGAAAGAAAGAAAGAAAGAAAGAGAGAAAGAAAGAGAGAAAGAAAGAGAAAUAAGUAAAGACAGAAUAAAGGGAAACAAAGAAACAGAGCCAGAGAGAGAGCGGGAUAUCACUGCCACAAAGAGCACGUGACCUUCUGGCACCCGGGGGUCAGUUUCGCCCUGGGCACUGUGGCACAAACUUUACCCUCGCUAACCAGGGCACGAACCAUCGAAAAAAACACAAAUUAAAAGUUUAUUUCCUUAUUCUUGUGCAUGAUGGCCUGGCGAGGCGACUGUGACAUGCUGUGAAAAUCGUAAAACUAAAAACGAGAAACUGAAACCAGAAAACCAGAAAGUAAAAACUAACCUCUCCCCCUCCCCCCCAAAAAAAAA